UGGCGCACGGGUGCGUAACGCGUGGGAACCUGCCUUUAGGUUCGGAAUAACAGUUAGAAAUGACUGCUAAUACCGGAUAAUGUCUUCGGACCAAAGAUUUAUCGCCUUUAGAUGGGCCCGCGUUGGAUUAGAUAGUUGGUGGGGUAAUGGCCUACCAAGUCGACGAUCCAUAGCUGGUCUGAGAGGAUGAUCAGCCACACUGGGACUGAGACACGGCCCAGACUCCUACGGGAGGCAGCAGUGGGGAAUAUUGGACAAUGGGGGAAACCCUGAUCCAGCAAUGCCGCGUGAGUGAUGAAGGCCUUAGGGUUGUAAAGCUCUUUUACCAGGGAUGAUAAUGACAGUACCUGGAGAAUAAGCUCCGGCUAACUCCGUGCCAGCAGCCGCGGUAAUACGGAGGGAGCUAGCGUUGUUCGGAAUUACUGGGCGUAAAGCGCACGUAGGCGGCUUUUCAAGUCAGGGGUGAAAUCCCGGGGCUCAACCCCGGAACUGCCCUUGAAACUGGAUGGCUAGAAUACUGGAGAGGUGAGUGGAAUUCCGAGUGUAGAGGUGAAAUUCGUAGAUAUUCGGAAGAACACCAGUGGCGAAGGCGACUCACUG
rnacentral:rRNA from 1 species